UUAAGUUCAGCGGGUAUCCCUACCUGAUCCGAGGUCAACCUUUGAUAAAUUGGGGGUUGCUGGCUAGCACGCACCCGGUCCUCCAGAGCGAGAAGAAUUACUACGCUUGAAGCCGGACGCGCCGCCACUGAUUUUGAGGCGCACCGGGACGGUGGCACCCAAUACCAAGCAGAGCUUGAGGGUUGUAAUGACGCUCGAAC
rnacentral:misc_RNA from 1 species